rnacentral:lncRNA from 1 species
UCAUGGAUACUAAUCAGAUUCUCACAGCAGGAAUGCCUCAUGUAAUCUUAUGGCAGCACUAAAAGCUUGUCUUCACCUAUAUUGCUUAUCAAAACAUGCCUAUCAUAUACAAUUCAUUGUACUACAACAUUUCUUCCAAUACUUUGCACUUAUUGUUUUUCCAACUUUGAAGCAGUGUGUACUUACUUAGGAGUCAGGAGUACCCUGAGUAGGUAAAUUACAUCCCUAUGGUCUGGAACACAGUAAAAGCAAAAACGCUUUUGAUUCAGUGAUUUGUGCUUUCUUCCUUCUGCACCUUCCUGCAGACACUGUUGGCAGAGAAGCUGAAUUGGCACCCUGGGCUUGGGCAACUGCUGCUAAAAGAUGGUGUCCUGGGAGCAGAACUUUCCUGUAACUGAGUGAUUCCUCACGUUGGUUUCAGACCAGUGUAAUUGAUUCUUGUUCUUCUUUUCUUUGUUUUGUUGUCAUUUAAUUCUUUAAUUAAACUCUCUUGUUAUUGGGAUUAAAAUCAUUGUAACCUGCCCCAGUUUUUCUUAUCUUGCUCUUUGAAGAUAUGAGAGUUCUGAACUUUCUAAUCUCAGGGCUGAAUGAAUACAAUUCAACCUCAUGUCUUAGAAUAGGGAUUCUCAUUCAAAGAGACUGGCUUCUUGGGGGGUGUGUGUUACCACAACCUUGAGGUAGAAAGUAAGAGGGAAGAGGGGCUGCCAGUUGAUGAAAAAAGCAUAUUCAGUAUUCUAAGCUAAUUAAAUCAAAACAAAUGAAUUUGUUCUGCUAACCAAGACAUAGAGAGUUAACCCUAUAAAAUUUCCUUUAUGGGCAUACAAGUUAGCAACUCCCAACAAGAUGAGUAUCUCUCUCUCCAGGUCAGAGUUGCCGAAUAUCUGUAAAGUGAUGGGCUACCUUCAAGAGAAAUGUACAGGGUUGUUCUCAAAAGCAUCAUUUGUAAUAGCAAACUCGGAAAGAAUUGGAAAAAAACUAAAGAUCCAUCAAAGGCAGAGUAGCUGAAUAAGGUCAUAUCAUGGAGUGGGUCAUUGAUGUGGAUGAACAGAUGUGCUGAUAUUGGCAGAUCUCCAACACACAUUUCAAGUUAAAACCACAACAGCAUGUAGGACACAAUGAAUAGUAUGAUCCCUUUAGUAUAAAAAUGGUCCCAAACCCUAUAAAAGCUGUAAACAUCCCUCUCCCUGUCAUUUACCAGCCUCUCUCUCAUUCUGUUUCUCUCUCCUGUGCUAUGACUUUUUUCUUCUCCUGGAAAGACACAUAAGAAUUAUGUUAGAAGGGUUAGUUUGGGGAAGAGAGACUAUGGGGACGGAAACGUAAAAAUUUCACUUUGUACUUUUUGUUUACAUUUUAAAAUCAUCUAACCAGCCGUCUCAUCAUUUAUUCUACAAAUACUUGUUGAAUGGCUACCACGUUUCAGGCGGUGCCCCUACUCUCUAAAAGAAUGGCGUGACCCUGACUUGAAGAAAGCUAAGCCUAGUGAGGAAAUAGACGGUAAUAAGGAAAUGUAGAAAAGAUAAUUCAAGACAGUUCUCAGAGUUAAGAAGAAUCAAAAAGGUCUUUAGUUAAAGAGUAACAGCAGAAGACUACUUUAGAUAGCAUAGCACUCAGCGCUUAAAUGCUCCAUAAAGCAAAGAAAACAAAACAAAAUAAAAUACUCCCAAAUGGAAUGCCUCACAACAAGCUCAGCUUUGCAAGUCAUUUGUGACUCAGCUGAUCUAAGCUGGGAUUUUCUGGGAAGCGCUGGGUUUGCGAGCUGAAGGCUGAGCUUAAUACUGCUCUGUAUUAGUCUGGUCUAGGGCCCAGGCUGGAAGUUCCAGCAGCCACUUGGAGAGGCUCUUUUCCUGAUAAAUCACCAGAGUGCAAAAGGGCCAAGUGAAACUGCACAAGCCAUUGCAGGCCUUUGCUUUUAUCAUGUCUACUGAUAUCUCAUUGGCCGAAUCAAAUCCUAUGGCCAAGUCCAGUGACAAUGGAGUGGAAAGUUACCCUCCACUCAUGGGGAUGGUGCUUGGAAGUAAAUAUUAUGCUGCAAAAUAUUUGACACUAUUGAUCAAGGCCUAUCUGAUCACUGAGUAGAAACUGCACAACUGUGAGCCAGAUUUGCUAAGACCACGGUAAGGUCUAGGGGUGAGAGUGAGGGACUUGAGCCAUUUCAAGCAGAGAAAAUAAUAAAUUCAAAAUUAUUAUCUAAAUUGUCAGUUGGUUGGUAGGAUUGUAAGUCAUUUUUUAUUUAAACGUUUCUGUAAAAAUUAACCUUAGUAAAUGGUCUUUCACAAAGGAGUAGCAUGCCAGAUCUGAGCUGCGUCUGUGACCUACAGCACAGCUCACGGCAGCACUGGAUCCUUAACUCACUGAGCGGAUCCAGGAAUUGAACCUAUAUCCUCAUGGAUACCAAUUGGGUUAGUUACUGCUAGACACAAUGGAACUCCUAGACUUUCUGGUUUUUCAAAAUGAUAUUCAGUCCGAUGAUAAAGUUCUCUAAGAGUUAUCAGAAAUGUCAUUGGACUGCUUACAUUUUUAUCCAGGGUAGUACUUAGCUAAACCACGGAGCAGGUUUUAGGGGCAGUGGUAAUCAGAAAUAAAUUUGCUUUUAUGAUUAUACCCUUUGAAUCUUGUCCAGCCCAUCAGUUACACUAACAUUUAUUAAAUUAAAGAUAGCCAUCAAAGCAUUGUGUUAAGGGUUUUCUAGCUGUUACCUCAUUCCCAAGAACACAGUAAGGUAAUUACUAUUAUCCUCAUUUUCUGGAUGAACACAUCAAAGGCAAGGGAGGUCAAGUGAUUGCCCAAGGUCACAGAAUAAUAAAUGUCAAAGCUGGGAUUCAAGUUUAAUCCAGUCCAUCUGACUGUGAGUCUGUGCUCCUAGUGGGUCUGAUUUCUUUCCUGGUGAAAAGCCCUUGUAGUAUGUGUGGGGUGUGACUGCACUCUCCACAGCUCCGUAUCCAUCCCCCAGGCCAAGCAGGCCCAGAUUCUAAAGCCACUUUUGCAGGGCAUGAGUUCAGUCUUUCUCCAUCCCAGUCAUUCUCCUUACCUUCCCCCCAUUUAUCACGUGUGGCCCUUGUGUAUGUGUGGAUACUAAAAAUUACAUUCGAUCACAUGUGUGCAUGUGACUUAGCGGGGGUGUCCUUGCCUAACCAUCGCGGGGCCCUGGGAGUAGGGAAGGGCCUCUUGGAUGCACUUUCUGCAGGAUCCCAUCUCUUCCUGUGCUUUUCCCCAGACUGGCCAUGGAGGAUCCUCCCUGUAGGCGCCUGUGCAAGGCGUAUCAAUUACCUCUUUAUGUGGACCUCCAGUUCCUUGAAUUUGAUGAGCUGCAGGGAGAAUUGGAUAGUGGCAGACGUUAAACAGCAAUGACAACAACAGCUCAGUUUCCCCAAAAAACUCUCUAGUAAUACUGGAAAUAGUUUUGUCCUUUGGUUUCCCAAACAUUCACUUAUUUAUACACUUGUCCAUGCAUUCAUUCACACAAAGAAAGCUUUACCGAGAGUCCCUGCUGCAUUAGGUCCUGCGAUGCAAGAAUGGAGAAGAGGAGUCCCCUGUCCUUGGGGAGCUCAGCUUCUAGACUGGGAAGUGGGUAUGUAAAUCAGUUGUCAUGCUCUGGUAAAAAAGUACUAAAUUGAGGUGUGAACCAGAUGCCAUGAGAACACCCAGGAAUAGGUAACUCAAAGUGUGCAGGAUGUCAAACUGUGUUAGUCAUGGCGUUGGGCCUAAAUUAGAAAACCAAAAAAACCCCCAGAAGCCAAAAAAAAAACCACACCCCCAAACUAUGAGAACCCUCCGUUUUGAAUUAUUCCUUUAUUUGACAGAAAUUUUUUUAUCUCCUGAAGGGCAAGGGGGGAUGAAUGCAGUGUCUUUGGUGCAGAAAGACCUGUUUGAUCUUGAAGCAAAUCACCCCAAGGAUUCCCCAUGAUUUUCAUAUUGUCCUUUUAUAAAGAGAGAUUUGGGUUACUGAGCCAGCGGGUCUGUCCCUGUGCCCGUCUGUCUCAGUCCCGCUGAUCCUUCUAGAGUGCUUUCUGGAAAGAGUGACCCGUUUGAUACCUUUGCCAUGUGCUGGCACAAGUAACCAAAUAGCUGCACAAAGAUAAGAGUUCAAGGGUAUUCGCUGAGGUGUUGCUUAUAACGACAAUAGGAAAUAUCCUAAAUAUCCAUCCACAGGGGAUUGAUUAAAUUCGUUCAGAACAUGCUGCAAUGUAAUGCCAAGCUGUUCUUUAAAAGAUGAAUAAGAUCUAUAUGUAUUAAUCAGGAAGAGUGUUAAUGAUACAUAAAGUAAAAAUUAAAAAGUGUAUUGAACUGUGUGUAAAUUAUUAUGGUUUUUUUCAUGUAAAUUAAUGUAUGCAUAAAAAUUCUGUUGGGAUGUAUUCCAAACUGAACAGAGGCUCUUGUGGAGGAAGGGGUAUGUGAAGUGCCUUGAAGGGAACUUCACUUUCUCUUUUAAGCACAUCUGUAUUUUUUGCAUUUUGAAUUAUUUUU